CCCACAGGGGAUGGGGUCUUAGAGGUGGGACAGUGUUGGCAGAAUGAUGACUGGGACACAGCUUUUGUAUUCAACCCACAGUACAGGUUUCACAUGAAAAAUUGCUCCAUCUUGGCUGAGGCUUGGCUUUAUCUUUUACCCUCAUGGUCAUACAACUACUUGGCAUACAGUUUCAUUUUCAACAUACAUAUUUCCAUAGAUCCUAACUACAGGCUCAAAAUCCAAGGAGAUAAUCCAUAAAAACACUGUUACUAAGUGCGGGGUCAGUGUGAAUCUUAAAACUGCUCAAACUCUACCUUCAAACAUUUGGUUAAGGUUAUUCCCCAUUUAAACAAAUAGAGAUAGUUGAUCAGAAAUGUAUUAGGAACUUUAAAAUUACUCCACCCAUACUUAGGCAUACCUUAGGGGAAGAUACAUUUAUAAACUCCUUAGAACAAAGAAAAAGUACUUAACUCAUACUUAUAGUAAGGCAAAAGCCCUUAAGCUAGGUCUAUUUUUAGAUCUAAUACAAAAGGGUGCUAAGUACCUAUGAAGGUCAAAUUAAUCACUAAAAGGUCAGUCAACUUUCAAGGGACGACCUUAGCAAAGAGGUGUGAAGUACACAGAAAAUAUAAUCUACCAAGAGAAGGUGAGAACUAAAAACUAAGAAUGGGCAGUCCUAGAAAAAAAUGUCUACUGUGAUUGGUAGUUGUGAAAAUUUAGGGGAGGUGACAUAGGAGAAAAUUCUCUUUAAAAGGAGGUCAGAAGGCCUCUGAAGUUAGUUCAGCUUGCUAAAGCUGAAUUGGAGGUCAGGAGUCAGAGGAGGCUCUCUUUCGGUGGCUGAACUUAGUUCAGCUUUCUGAAGCUAAACUGGAGGGUCUCUGUGAACAAUGGAGUUUGUUUGGGACAAAAUCUUGUGUAUGGCAACUUCCUGUAGUCUUGGCUGCAAAUGGGUAAGUAAAAUAUUACUGCAUUUUGUCCUACAGACUUGAGGGAUAGAAAUUACUUUAAUUGGACCCUGAUUCAAGGACCUGUUAUAGGUUUAUUUUCCUUUACUUAGAAUUUUUACACAUAAGACAUUGAUAGUCUAUAUUUCAUCCAAAAGUUAUUUUUUCUAUUUUAUUUGGAUUUUUUCUAAUGUUUUUGGUUUGUCUAACCAAGUGAUUCAUAUACCUCAUAACUGAGCCAUGUAUCCCUAAGUGAUCCUUGUGUUUUUCAAUCACCCUCUUCAGCGGGAAUGUAUUAUUAUUCUAAAAUGCAAAGUUUAAAUUCUUUUUAAGAGUAAUUUUAUUUUAAGAAACAUGCUACCUCUCAGAAUCCAGAAAGUAAACUGUUUGGAGGAGGCUUGAAGAUGCUUACACAGACCAACAUGUUGCACCAGAAGAUCCAAAGUGAAAUUUGGAAUGUGGUGAUUUGAAUAGUGUGGGAAUGAAUGCAUUUGUUUUUGUAUGUAUACUCUGAUGCCAAAAGGGACUGCCCCCUAACUGGCUUUUUGUCAAUGCACCUUGCAAUCAUUGGUUUUGUUCUCUUUUCCUCUUAUUCUCAAAUUAUUGUAAUUGCAAAGUUGGUUAUGUUUACAAGAUCCAUUGGAGAGAGUAGUCUUCUAUGGAUCUCAGGGGGAAAUGUAUAAUUGAAAAUCCGUUACCCUAAAAAAGAACUAAAUUUCCUGGGAGCCCACUGACAUCCUGUCAUUAUGCAGUUCCUGUAGACAAAGGAUAUUGUAAUGAUUAAAAUUUAGCGGAGAUGGGGAGACUGAGGCAGUUAGAAAUUAGUUUCUCUCUGCAAGAAGUAUUAUAUUUUUUAGAGGUUUAUUAAAGGUUAAAGAUUAAAGAAUAUACAAGUAAGAAACAUGUGCCUAGGCCAGAGGCCUAGACAAAAUAACCUCACAUCAUGCAAGCGACGCUCCUGCUGCAAAACAGAAGUCCAAAAGACCCAAGAGAGCCCCCUCAAAAGCCUUUGAAUCAGCUUAAAUACCUUCUCGAUUUCAGCCCAGGUGAGAUUACAAGGCAUUCUGGGGAAGUGGAGCAAAGGCUCAUGGGGAUUGUAGUCCUGUAUUCGAGUCUAUUUUUUACAAUAUUAAAUUGGGAUGUGGAGAGUACUACCUCUUUAUUUCCUGUCCUGAGUUUGGUGGUGGUAAGGUGGUUGUUUGAAACUGGCUCAUCAGGCACAGGUACAUGUUCUUUAUUUUGUAUCCUAUUUAUUCCUUAAUUUCUUUUUUUUAAACAUUAUUUUAUUUGGUCAUUUCCAAACAUUAUUCAUUGGAAACAAAGAUCAUUUUCUUUUCCUCCCCACUCCCCACCUCUCCCAUAGCCAACGCACCCACCUCUCCCAUAGCCGAUGCACCCCACCUCUCCCAUAGCCGACUCGCAAUUCCACUGGAUAUCACAUGUGUUCUUGAUUCGAACCCAUUUCCAUGUUGUUGGUAUUUACAUUAGAGUGUUCAUUUAGAGUCUCUCUUCAGUCAUAUUCCCUCCACCCCUGUGGUCAAGCAGUUGCUUUUCCUCAGUGUUUUUACUCCCGCAAUUUGUCCUCUGCUUGUGGAUAGUGUUUUUUCUCCUAGAUCCCUGCAGAUUGUUCAGGGUCACUGCAUUGACACUAAUGGAGAAGUCCAUUACGUUCAAUUAUACCACAGUGUAUCAGUCUCUGUGUACAAUGUUUUCCUGGUUCUGCUCCUUUCGCUCUGCAUCACUUCCUGGAGGUUGUUCCGGUCUCCAUGGAAUUCCUCCACUUUAUUAUUCCUUUUAGCACAAUAGUAUUCCAUCACCAACAUAUACCACAAUUUGUUCAGCCAUUCUCCAAUUGAAGGGCAUCCCCUCAUUUUCCAAUUUUUGGCCACCACAAAGAGUGCAGCUAUGAAUAUUCUUGUACAAGUCUUUUUCCUUAUUAUCUCUUUGGGGUACAAACCCAGCAGUGCUAUGGCUGGAUCAAAGGGCAGACAUUUUAUUGCCUUUUGGGCAAUAAAUUGCCCUCCAGAAUGGUUGGAUCAAUUCACAACUCCACUAGCAAUGAAGUAGUGUCCCUACUUUGCCACACCCCCUCCAGCAUUCAUUACUUUCCAUAGCUGUCAUGUUAGCCAAUCUGCUAGGUGUGAGGUGAUACCUCAGUGUUGUUUUGAUUUGCAUCUCUCUGAUUAUAAGAGAUGUAGAGCACUUUUUCAUGUGCUUAUUAAUAGUUUUGAUUUCUUUGGCUGAGAACUGCCUGUUCAUGUCCUAUGCCCAUUUAUCAAUUGGAGAAUGGCUUGAUUUUUUGUACAAUUGAUUUAGCUCUUUGUAAAUUUGAGUAAUUAAACCUUUGUCAGAGGUUUUUAUGAAGAUUGUUUCCCAAUUUGUUGCUUCCCUUCUGAUUUUAGUUACAUUGGUUUUGUUUGUACAAAAACUUGUUAAUUUGAUAUAUUCCAAAUUAUUUAUUUUGCAUUUUGUUUCUCUUUCUAAGUCUUGCUUGGUUUUAAAAUCUUUCCCUUCCCAAAGGUCUGACAUGUAUACUAUUCUGUGUUUGUCUAAUUUACUUAUAGUUUCCUUCUUUAUGUUCAAGUCAUUCACCCAUUUUGAAUUUAUCUUGGUGUAGGGUGUGAGGUGUAGAUCUAAACCCAAUCUUUCCCACACUGUCCUCCAAUUUUCCCAGCAGUUUUUAUGAAAUAGUGGAUUUUUGUCCCAAAAGCUGGGUUCUCUGGGUUCAUCAUAUACUGUCCUGCUGAGGUCACUUACCGCAAGUCUAUUCCACUGAUCCUUCUUUCUGUCUCUUAACCAGUAUCAAAUUGUUUUGAUGACCACUGCUUUAUAAUAUAGUUUGAGAUCUGGGUCUGCAAGGCCCCCUUCCUUUGUAUUUUUGUUCAUUAUUUCCCUGGAUAUCCUUGAUCCUUUGUUCUUCCAAAUGAACUUUGUUAUGUUUUUUUCUAAAUCAGUAGAAAAGUUUUUUUGGAAGUUCAAUGGGUAUGGCACUAAAUAGAUAAAUGAGUUUGGGUAGGAUGGUCAUUUUUAUUAUAUUGGCUCAUCCUACCCAUGAGCAGUUCAUGUUUUUCCAAUUGCACAAGUCUAGUUUUAGUUGUGUGGAGAGUGUUUUGUAGUUGUGUUCAUAUAGUUCUUGUGUUUGUCUCAGAAGACAAAUUCCUAGGUAUUUUAUUUUCUCUAAGAUGAUUUUGAAUGGGAUUUCUCUUUCUCGUUUCUUGUUUGCUGCUGAGCUGUGUUGGAAAUAUAUCGAAAUGCUGAUGACUUAUGCGAGUUUAUUUUGUAUCCUUCAACUUUGCUAAAGUUGUUUAUUAUUUCGAUUAGCUUUUUGGUUGAAUCUCUAGGAUUCUUUAAGUAGGCUAUCAUGUCAUCCGCAAAGAGUGAUAACUUGGUCCCCUCCUUGCCUAUUUUAAUACCUUCAAUUUCUUUUUCUUCUCUAAUUGCUACUGCUAGUGUUUCUAGUACAAUGUCAAACAAUAGAGGUGAUAAUGGUCAUCCUUGUUUCACUCCUGAUCUUGUUGGGUAUGCAUCUAGUUUAUCCCCAUUGCAGAUGAUAUUAGUUGAUGGUUUUAGAUAUAUCCUGUUCAUUAUUUUUAGGAACAACCCUUCUAUUCCUAUGCUUUCUAGUGUUUUUAAUAGGAAUGGGUAUUGUAUUUUAUCAAAGGCUUUUUCUGCGUCUAUUGAAAUAAUCAUGUGAUUUUUGUUGGUUUGCUUGUUGAUGUGGUCAAUUAUGUGGAUGAUUUUCCUAAUAUUGAACCAGCCUUUCAUUCCUGAUAUAAAUUCUACUUGAUCAUGGUGAAUGACUAUUCUGAUCACUUGCUGGAGUGUUUUUGCUAGUAUCCUAUUUAAGAUUUUUGCAUCUAUAUUCAUUAGGGAGAUUGGUCUAUAAUUUUCUUUCUCUGUUUUUGGCCUGCCUGGCUUUGGAAUUAGUACCAUGUUUGUGUCAUAAAAGGAAUUUGGUAGAACUCUCUCUUUGCUUAUUAUGUCAAAUAUCUUGUAUUGUGUUUUGGGUUAGCUGUUCUUUGAAUGUUUGAUAGAAUUCACUGGUGAAUCCAUCAGGCCCUGGGGAUUUUUUCUUAGGAAGUUCUUUGAUGGCUUGUUGGAUUUCUUUUUCUGAUAUGGGAUUAUUUAAGAAAUCUAUUUCUUCUUCUGUUAGUCUAGGCAAUUUAUAUUUUUGUAAAUAUUCAUCCAUAUCACCUAGGUUGGUAUAUUUAUUGCCAUAUAGUUGGGCAAAGUACUUUUUAAUGAUUGCCUUAAUUUCUUCUUCAUUGGAGGUGAGGUCCCCUUUUUCAUCUUUGAUGCUGUUAAUUUGCCUUUCUUCUUUCCUUUUUUAAAUUAGAUUGACCAGUACUUUGUCUAUUUUUCUGUUUUUUCAAAGUACCAGCUUCUUGUCUUAUUUAUUAAUUUAAUAGUUCUAUCACUUUUGAUUUUAUUAAUUUCUCCCUUAAUUUUUAGGAUCUCUAGUUUGGUUUUCUUCUGGGGUUUUUAAAUUUGUUCUUUCUCAAGUUUUUUGAUUUGCAUUUCUAAUUCAUUGAUCUCUGCCCUCCCCAAUUUGUUAAUAUAUGCUCUCAUGGAUAUGAAUUUCCUCUAAGUACUGCUUUGGCUGCAUCCCAUGAGGUUUGAAAGGAUUUCUCAGCAUUGUAAUUUUCCUCAAUGAAAUUAUUAAUUAUUUCUAUGAUUUGUUCUCUAACUGAUUUUGGAGUAUCAUAUUAUGUAAUUUCCAAUUAAUUUUUGAUUUGGCUCUCCAUGUACCCUUACAGAUCAAUAUUUUUAUUGCUUUAUGAUCUGAAAAGGUUGCAUUUAUUAUUUCUGCUUUUCUGCAUUUGAGUGCCAUGUUUUUGUGACUUAGGGUAUGAUCUAUUUUUGUGAGUGUGCCAUGUGGUGCUGAGAAGAAGGCCUAUUCCUUUUUGUCCCUAUUUAUUUUUCUCCAUAUGUCUAUUAACUCCAAUUUUUCUAAUAUUUCAUUCACUUCUUUUACCUCUUUCUUAUUUAUUUUUUGAUUUGAUUUAUCAAAAUUUGAUAGUGGUUGGUUCAAAUCUCCCACUAAUAUGGUUUUACUGUCCAUUUCCUCUUUCAAUUCUCCUAGUUUCUCCAUUUGAAAUUUGGGUGCUAUACUGUUUGGUGCAUACAUGUUGAUUAGUGAUAUUUCCUCAUUAUCUAUAUUCCCUUUUAACAGAAUAUAUUUACCUUCCCUAUCCCUUUUGAUCAGGUGUAUUUUUGCUUUGGCUUUGUCAGAUAUCAUGAUUGCACCUCCUGCUUUCUUUCUAUCAGUUGAGGCCCAAAAGGUCUUACUCCAUCCUUUAAUUCUAACCUUUUGAGUAUCAACCCCCCUCAUAUGUGUUUCUUGAAGACAAUAUAUGGUAGGGUUUUGGGUUCUAAUCCAAUCUGCUAUUUGUCUACCUUUUAUAGGUGAGUUCAUCCCAUUCACAUUCAAAGUUAUGAUUGUCACUUGUGGAUUCCCUGGAAUUUUUAUAUCUUCCCCUAGUUCUGACCUUUCUUCUUUAGCUAUAUCCUUUUGAACCAGUGAUUUACUUUAGGUCAGUCCCCCUAGUCCCUUCCCUUGAUAUGUUUCCCUUUCUAGCCCCUCCCUUUCUAUGCUCCCUUCCCCUCCCCGCUCACCUUUCCUCCCUUUUUAUACUCCCUCUCCCCUCCCCCUCCUUAAUUUUCCUUUCUUUCUUACCAUGUUGGAUAAGGUAGAAUUCAGGAUCUCAUUGGAUCUAGAUGUUCUUCCCUCUCUGCAUUGAUUUCACUGAGAGUAAGGUUUAAGUAAUACUACUUCACGCUCUCUUCCUCUCCUUCUCAUAUGAGAGUUCUUCCCCUCCCCUUCCUAUGUGUAUCUUUGUAUGGGAAAGAUUAUUCUAUUUAGUCCCCCCCCCAUUUCUUGAAGUAAAUCUUAGUAUUAUCGACGCUUCCCCCCUUCCUUUUUCUUACUUUGACCCCCUUUCACCAAAUCUUCUUGAUGCCCCAAUCUUUUCCUAUGCAUGAUUUUUCUAACUACUCUUAUGAUGCAUACAAUUUUUGAGAGUUACACAAUGCAUUUCCCUCACAUAUUAAUAUAUAUAAUUUGCUGUAAAUGUAGUUCUUAUAGAAGAGAGUUUGGCUUAAAGAAAAAGAUAAGAUUUUUCUCCUUUUCCCUUUCUUUCAUAUUUACCUUUUCAUGUUUCUCUUGCUUUUUGUGAUUGGAUAUCAAAUUUUCCACUAAGUUCUUGUCUUUUCUUAGCAAAUGCUUUUAAAUCUUCUAUUUUGUUGAAUGCCCAUACUUUCCCCUAGAAGUAUAUAGUCAGUUUUGCUGGGUAGUUUAUUCUUGGUUGGAGACCCAGCUCUCUUGCUUUCUAAAUGUCAUGUUCCAUGCUUUGCGUUCUCUUAGUGUGUUAGUCGCUAAGUCAUGUGUGAUCCUUAUGGGAGCCCCCCUGUAUCUGAAGCUCCUCUUCUUGGCUUCUUGUAGGAUUUUCUCCUUUUCUUGGAAGCUCUUGAAUUUGGCAAUUACAUUCCUGGGGGUUGCCUUUUGGGGAUUUAGUAUAGAGGGUAUUCUACGAACCCUUUCUAUUUCUACUUUGCCCCCUUGCUCCAGAACAUGAGGGCAAUUUCCUUCUAAAAUCUCCUGUAGUAUAGCAUCAAAGUUUUUGUUUAUCUCUGGUUUUUUGGGCACACCAAUAAUUCUCACGUUAUCUCUUCUUCCUCUGUUUUCCUGGUCUGUGACCUUUUCAGUGAGAUAUUUUAUGUUUUCUUCUAAUUCAUUAAUUUUUUGGCUUUGCUUUAUUAAUUCUUGCUGUUUUGCAAGCUCACUGUCUUCCAGUUGCUUAAUUCUGGUAGUUAGGGACUGGUUUUGCUUUUCAGCUUUGUCUGCCCUUCUAUUAGAUGCUUCCAGCUCUUUCUCCAAUUGUGAAGUCUUGUCUAUCAGACUGCUGACCUCUUUCUCCCAUUUUUCUUUCCGGAAGGUUUCCAUGUUUUGGAUAAGCUCCAAUUUGAGUUCUUCUAGAGCUUUUGGAUAGUUUCCAUUUUGGGAGGCAUGUUUUGGUUUUGUUUGGAUUUCAUCCUCUUUCUCUUUUUUUCUUGGGUACUCCCGCCAUAAAAGUUUUUAAUAGUCACUUUUCCCCCUUUCUUCUUAGAGGCUUGAUUUUUGGGCUGUGUGAGCCAUUCCUUUGGUGGUUUUAUUCCCCUUUCCUUUUUGGUCUGGGGUCUGGGUGAUAUGGGCGGGUUUUCUGUGAAUUUAGGUUGCCUCAGACUAGUUCUUCCCAGCCUCUGAGGUUUCUUAGAGAGCAGGCCCCUGUGCUCAGUGCAACCACCCCUGUGUUCAGCAGGGCUGCCCCUGUGCUCAGCACAGGAUUCUCCCAUGAAACUGCCCUGAGAGGUCGUUUCCUAGCAGUCUUUAGAUCCCAAGGACUUGGUGUGCCCCCCCCCUCCCCCAGACAGAGACGUUCCUCACUCACUCACUGUCCCAGUGAGUGCUCUGAUACCUUACUCUGGUUUGGUGGGGGAGGUGGAGGGGAAGGGAGGCUCAGUUCACAUUUUUGUGCAAGCUUUUCCUCCUUCUUAUAGUGUGGAAAUGUUCAAACCCCACUUACCUUCGUUUCUGUGGGGUACUGGAGAGUCCCUCCAUUCUUCCAAAGGUGAUUUUUAUGCUCUUUUGAGGUAGUCUAUUUUGUUCGGUGCCGGGGAGAGGAAGCGAUUCGCAUCUAGAUUGCAGCCAUGCUUACCUGGAAGUAUAUUCCUUGAUUUCUAAUGAUCAAUAAUAAAUUUCCUAAAAUAUAUUUUUACUAUUUGAGAUUAAUUUUAAUUUUUACAGGAAUAUGAUUGAUUAGCUUUACAAUGACUACAAAGAAAUGAGAAGUCUAAGACAAGAUUAUCAGGGAGAGACUUAUGCUUCAUAAUGGAUACAAAAGGGAAAGGUUCAGCCAAAGGCUGGGCUACCGGGGAGAGCACUCUGAUACAAUGGGAGAAACUACUAGGACAAAAGUUUACUUAACAUUUAAUUAAGUUUAUUAGUCCCACCCAAAUUGGGAUCAUGAAAUACUUUAAGGUCUAUUGUUCAGUUUGAUAUAGGUUAAGUCUGGGGUUCCCCCAACCCCUCUUGGGUUUGCAGGGGAUAGGGGAAAACCCGGGGUCUCCAUAUUUGAAGUUGACAGUAUACAAAUAAAUACAAGCAAAAAAGAUAAUCUCUGCUCUCAAGGAACUUGCAUUUUUAAUGGGAGAGAAAACACAAGGAGUUGUAAAAGUUGGGAAGAGAGACAGAGAGAGACAGAGACAGAGACAGAGAGACAGAGACACACACCCAAACACACACACACACACACACACACACACACACCCAAACACACACACACACACAGAGAGAGAGAGAGAGAGAGAGAGAGAGAGAGAGAGAGAGAGAGAGAGAGAGAGAGAGAGAGAGAGGAAAGCAUGAUGGCAAAGACUACAGAAUGAAAGAUAGCUGGUCCAAUACUCUUCUUCAAAACCAGAGUUCCUGGAAUAACUCACUAAUAGGGAAAAAGGAGUCACAGGGGCAGAGAGAGGAGGCAGGUGAGCCAUGGUGGAUUUGUUGACUGGAAUGCUUAGGAAAAUCCUCUUUUCGAGCUUUUCACUAAGUUUUAUCUGAAUUAUUUUUUGUGUUUUAUUUUGCAAUCUUUCUUCUCAAGUUAAGGGAGUUAAGGUUGAGAGAAGAAGAUGAAAGAGGGAUAUUUAUCUGCUCCAUGCUAUUGGUUAUUUGGGCCAUUGUUGAUAGUCAGGUAUGAGGAAAGGAAAUUAGACCAGUUCACUCUUUGGUUGAAUUAAGAACAAAGGUUGAUGUUUUAUCUGUCAAAAAACUACUUAAGAUAAAGGGGACUUGCACUCUGAGGGGACACCAGAGGACUCCUGGCUCCUAAAAGAUGCCAGCUUCUUGUCUCACAGGACACCUGGCUUCUGGAAGACCUGUCCCUGAUCUGGACUGAGGUCAAAGCCUGCCAAAUGAGGGUCUCAGAAAAGUGAUACCACAAGAAGCAUAAAAUUGGACUGGGGAAGGGAUGUAGCUCUCUUUUGCUGCAGAAUCAAGGUGAGAAGAGGUUGCUAGGUGAGCACUGACCCACUCAUAGUGUGACUCUGGGAGUGCCUGAGGUAUGGCAGCUGGGGAAUGCCAGAAUGGCUGAGGACCUCUGGCUAGGGGAGGCUUGUGACAGGAAAAGUCAGCCACAUGUGACUGGUGCCUUUUCUUUCUCAGAUCUGCUUUUAAAAUUAUUUAAUAGAUAUAUAUAAAUUAAAAUACAGUCUCCAGAGAAUUUUAAUCUUAACACAUGUAAAUGUAAAAAGAUUAGAAAAUGAUGAAGAAUUUGGGUUAUAAAGGACUUUAAAAGCCUAAUGACUUUAUCCCAUUAUCCUUAGGGAAAAAGAAGACAUUGGAAUGAACAGGAUGAUUUCAGAAAAAGUUGGAAAGACCUACAUGAAAUGAUACAGAGGGAAAUAAGCAUAACUAGGACAACAUUGUCCACAGUAACUGCAAUAUUGUGGAAUGAUCAAAUGUGAUAGAGUUAGCUACUAUCAGCAAUACAAUGAUUCAGAACAAGUCCGAGGAACUUAUGAAAAAGAAUGUUAUCUAUCUCUAGAGAAAGAAGUAUGGGAGUAGGGAUGGAGGUGAAAGCAUACAUUUCACUCGCUUAUUUGGGGUUCUGUUUGGGGGUUUUGAUUUUAUAAGAUUAGUCACUUAUACAAAUGAAUAAUAGGGGAAUCUGCUUUGCCCGAUAAUACAUGUGUCAGUUCUAUUUUUGGAACUCCCAAGUUUGCCCUUUCUCUUAGGAAAUUGCCUGAAGGGAAGUUACAAACUGACCUUGUGUCAGACUGAACAAUGAACCUUAUAGUAUGUAAUGAUCUCAGUUUAGGUAGAAUUGUUAGGUCCGAGUGGAAGACCACCCCAAGGAGCACAAGGAGACAAUACAAUUCAGGCAAGGGGAAGUCUUUAUUACUAGCGUCGUUAGGGGAGCCCAAUCAAGGGGUUCCCAAGAGUCAGAGUGGAGUUUAUAUUGGUUAAAGCAGUCAUAGUUGAGUUACUAGAUGGGGGACACCUGGAACAUUCUGUUAAUGAUGUUGGCUAGUUUAGCAUAAUAGGUGGGUGAUGUGACUGGCAUAUCAGGGGGGCAAUUGGUCAGACAUGAAAGGUAGGUUAUUGUUGGCAUACUCAGGGGCCCUGUAGCUUCUGGGGCUUUGCACAGAACACUCUGUUGUGGGACAUUCUGUUGUCCCAUGCAGAGUGAGGGUCGGUUGAUUUUUACUGCAUAACAGAAUUAGGAGAUAUAAUUGAAUCAUAAGUACCCUUUUCUCUUAGAAGUUUCUCCCAUUGUAUCUUGGGCUACUCCCUGGUGUCCCAGCCUCUGGCAACAGCCUCAUUCCCAAGCCUGCCUAUAAUUAGUCAGUGGAUGUUUUCUGUCCUUAAUUCCCCCAAAGGUAUAGAAGACCCCAAGUUCUAUUGCUCCCAGGAAAAUCAUCUUUGGCUGUGUGUUUUCCCUGAGCAUUGUUCCCAGAGUCCCAGAACUUUGGCUCUGUGUGGUAUUAAACUCUUGACUCACUCUGUGUGGCAGUCAAAUCUUGAGUACUAUCCCUUAUUCUGAUUAAAGACUUUGUCUUCAUACUCUUUUAGUGGUUCUGUGUUUUUUUCCCAAAGUUGACACGUGUAUACCCCAGUUUCAAUUGCUUGCUAGUUCUGGGAUGGGGAAGGGGAGAAGGGAAGAAGACAAAUUAGAUCAUAUAACUUUGAAAAACUUAUGUGGAAAUUUGUAAUUACAUAUAAUUGGUAAAAAAAAAUUUUUUUAAAGGAACCAUUCGGGUUUAUUGAUCAGAGAGGGGUGUCAUAGACUUGAGUUUUUGAAAAACUGCUUUGGCAGCUCAGUGUAGGAUGGAUUUGAAGGGGGAGAGAAUAGAGUCAGUGAGACCAAUUUAGCCACUAUUACAAUCAUCCAGGUGAGGGGUCUAGACUAGGGUGGUGGUUAUGUGAGCAGAGAGAAAAAGGUAUGGAGAAGGGUUGUUGAAUAUUUUUGGUGGUGAUGGUGACGGUAGUGGUUUCUAUAUAGUUGGAUCCUGGGGUUUCUGUGGGGACUCCACUGUCAAGUGACGAAUGAUUGAAAGUGAGGGUCAGGCCUGGGGUAUGUUCCUGCUGUUACAGCUGAGGUGAGAGUAUCAGUUUACAAGGAGGCCAGCUCUGAGUAAGAGAUAGAGAUAGAGAUAGAGACAGAGAGAUAGAAAGAAAGGAAAAGUAGGCGCCUUCAUGACUGAAGGUAAGAGGGCCUGAGUAGAAAGACACAGCACUAUAAUUGAGGGUUAUGACUUCCAUUUAUUCAGAGUUUAGUCUUACAUUUUAUAGUUUAUUCAAGCAAUUGAAGAGUGACAGUUGAUUUGUUUAGAGUAACUUGGGGGUUUACAGGAAACAGGGGAAGGGAAGUCUGGGUUAUUUGGUCAUGACAUUACAAAGGCUUCUCUGGUCAUCCAAAUAAGGAAUGGCUCAAGGAUUAUUAUGGCCAACUAGGCAAGAGGCUUUUAGGAAUUCUUCUUAUCUGAAUUUUAGCCAGUCAGAAACUUGUAGCUCUGAAUUGAGAUUGACCCAGCCAGAAAUCCCAGGCAGACUUACAAGGAUGUCAUUAUGGCCACUUUCCUCAGUGGGUCUAAAUUGUCCUAGGUUCCUCCAUACUCCACAAGGAUAGGUUGCCAAAAGGUUUGAAAAUAGGGGAUGACUUAGUGUUGGCCACAUACUGAAUAGAAGGGUACAAGAGUGUGGCAGGGAUUGGGGUAAAGUAAGGUGGAAUAGAGAUGAAACAUCACUACAGUAAUCAGCUGAGGAUUAGAGAAAGGGUCUAGUUUUUGUUUUCCUGGUCAGUUCAGAGACCAGUCAAAUUUAAAGGUUAGAUCUCCCAUCUCUUCCUGGUAGAUAUUAUUAAAUUUAUCAUUCUGCUCUGGUGAGAAGUGUUCCUUCCAGUUUCCUGUGACACCUAAAGGGAGAAAAGGACACUGAGUGAAAUGCUGGGAGAAAUAAGGAUCCCUCCCCUUCCUGGUGAAGCCCUGCAGGAAUGCUUUAGGAAGGUCCUUACCUUUCCUAAAAAACUUCCCCUUGCUGUGGUCAAACAAGUCUAUAGAAGAAGAAUAGUUGAGGGAGUCAUUUUGACUCAUGGAGGAAAAACUGCUGUAAUGUAGGAUGUUCUCCAUAUCAUCUGGUUCCAGCUUCUGUCCCAGGAAGUUAGCCAGGUUCUGGAUAACUUGGUGAGGUUUCUUAGAAAUGGGGAGCAGGAAUUAGGCUGAGGUAUCACAGGACCCCAGCCUCCCUUCCUCCCCAGUAGAGGCAUCUCUAGGAUCCCUGCUGCUUCUGUAAUGAAAUCAGACUGGGGAAUCCUGGAGGUAUGGUUAGAAACCAGGAACCAAGGCUGGAGACUGGGGAGCAGGUGCUCAUGACCUAUUUUAAUUGGUGAGCAUGUGCUUAUGAGUAUAUGUAUGCAUGUGUAUAAUGCAGGUUUGUCAGUGUGUGUGAUUCAUUCUGUGUAUUUUUGAAUUAUAUGGGCCCUUGUGUCUCUGUGACCAUAGGUAUGCAUUUCUGAUUAUCUGGGUGUGUAUGCUUAUAUAUGUGUGUCUGUGAAUAUGUGUGUGUUUAUGUGUGCUUAGGAAUGUGUUUGUGAGUAUAUGACAUGUGCAUAAUGUAUACCUCAAACAUCCAAAGGAAGGAAUGGCCCUUUCACAAAAGAAUAAACUGCUGUUUCAUACUUUGUCCUCUGAGCUCUGUCUUUGUGAACUCAUUGCGUUGGUGGGAUCCAGUGUCCAUGACCCCAUCUCUCUCAGAUGGGGGGCCAGUCCAGGAUUGUGAAAUGGUGAGGGGCCUCAGUUACUUGUUUUUGGGCACGGCUUAAGGAAUGCGUCACCCAGAUGGGUUCUGAUCAAGGACACAUGUGGAAUUGUGAGUCGGCUAUGGGAGGGGUGCGGGGAGGGAAGGGAGGAAGAGAAAAUGAUUUUUGUAACCAAGGAAUAAUGUUUGAAAUUGACCAAAUGAAAAUAAUGUUAAAUUAAGAAAAAAAGAAAGUAAGUAAUGCAGUAAAGUAAGUAAAGUUUUACAGCUGUUGACCAGGAAGGGGGGACUGGGUGAUUCUCACUUGCUUUCAUGCCUGAAGGGAGUUUCAGCAGUAGCAGUACUAAGGUAGUGAUGAUUGGGGAAUUCGGAUUCUGCUACAAAAGGAAUUUGUGAAUAUAGAUGGAGGGUGAGGAGUCCUUCUCUGGACGUGAGUGUAUAAGAUGUGUCACAGGUGCCAGGAGAGGGGCCCCUGCCAGAAAGAGAGUGAAGCAAGUGUUGUGGUGUUGUGUGCUUGUGCAAGAGAUACAGAGGAAUGGGACAGAUUAUAGGACUGAAAACUGUGACUAGAUCAUGGAAUCUCUUAGAUGGAACUGGUGAGAAGUUGCAAAGAUGAGACAGACAUCUUGAUUUUCUGGCAGGGUUGAGACACCUUGUUUUCAAGCCAGGUUGAAUAUAUCUGAGGGAGGAUACAUGACUCUUUUUCUGGGUUGCAAGACAUGUCAGGUCUGAGAGUGAGCAAGCCAGGUUGACCAGUUUUCAGAAUAUUUUGCAUCGAUAAAUCCAAAGAAAAAGUACAAAAACUGGAGAAUAUUCUGCCAGAAGGAAUUUGAAAGAGUCAUAAAAAUCUUAAUUCUAAGACAAACAUUGAAUGUCAGAAUGGGGCAAAGACAUUCUGUUGUGGGGUGCAGAGGUGAAUCCCUGGGGUUCUGGAAGGAUACCUUAUGCAAGAAUGCAAGAUUCUGAAACUUAGCUUAAAAAUGAAAAGAGAAAUUUACCAAUUUAGAAAGUAAUGUUGAGUAUGGCCAGGAGGAUAGUACAGGUGGAAAAGCAAGAUGGAAGGCUGCUCCCAGAAUCUAUUAAUUCUGGGGAUUAUAUACUCUUUACAACAGUGAGGACUGUAAACCUUAAAAUUCCUUAGACUUAUAAAUGUUGGAAAUUUCACCAUUGGGAUAUUUCAUACUUGGAAAAUUUCUUACUGAUAGUCUAUUGGAAUGGGAACCCCAUUGGCAUGGGAGGUUCCUUCUCUUCCCUUCUUAAGAUUACUUUAGGACAGAAACCUUUUGCUGAACAAUGGAAAGGACUUUGACCUAUGCUUAAGCAUAGAACAGGAAUUUCUUUGAAUCAUGAUUGAUUUUAGAAUUGAUACAAUGGAGAUACUUGGAAUAAAUCUCCACCCUAUUCAGUCCUAACAGGAUUGAGUAAGGGCUGCAGCCUAGAUCAAAGAUUUAAUCAUUUGAAAAUAUGACCUUCAACAGACAUGUGCAAAAGCCAGAAACCUCUGGGUGGUCCUGGGUUAAGCUAGAGCCUCCAUUGGCACAGGGAAAUUGAUGAACAGUGAUUGGUAGAUGGGAGAACUGAGAGGAGGAACUUGGAUGGUUUCCUUAAAGAUAGGAGGAGUCGGAGACUUGAGGAGGGUUGAGGAGUUUGGUCGGGGUGAUUGCGGUGGACUCGGAGAAGCUUGCGCUGAAGGAAGCUGAAGGUGGGGGCCUCUGAGACUGUUUCUCCAUUUUGGUCACGUGAGUGAUAGGGACUGAUCUCUUUUCUUUGCCCCAGCUAUCUAAGGGCUUGGGCCUUUUGGCCCAGCCUAAACAGAAGGGGUAUUUAAGCCCUAUUCCCUUCUCUCCCUUUUUCUCUCUCUCUAUCUCUAAUUCCUUUCUUGCUCCUAUUGUAAUUAAACUCCAAAAAAGGCUGACGGCUGACUUGAGUUUUUCAUUUAGGAAUUACAUAGCUGAAUUCCUUGGCGACCUUAAAUUAAUAUAUAUCAGUCUUUUAAAGUGAUUCCCUUGUCACAGGACAUGAUGCUGUGUCAUGUGUAGACACGACUCGACUCUAGAGUGGUAACUACUCUGGCAUUUGAUGGUGGUGGGGGGAGGGCUGGUCAUCUGACUGGGGUCUGCCUGGAAACAUAGGGAAUGACCCUCAUAAAAGAUUCUUUAGUUUUAGGGACAGACAGAUGUCUAAGAUACGGCCCAAUAGUAUUGAGAUGUAGUCUGGAGGGGCAUCUCUCUGUCCAUCUUAAAUCUAGAGGAGGAUCAAAGAGGGUAAUCCCCUCAGGGUUUCUAUAGGGGUUAUUAUAUGUUUUGGGUGAGGAUGUAAGGGAGCAAAGGAAUUUCCCUGAUAAUAGUUUGCCUGAGUUUCUGGGUAUGCAAUGGCUAUGCCAAUUCCACAAGCAUCCAAAGCAGGUAGUGUCCAGUUCUUGAAAGAAUAAACUGCUUUCUCAUACUUUGUCCUCUCAACUCAGUGUUGGUGAACUAAUUGCAGUGGUGGGGGUGGGACUGGGGGCAAGGAGAGAUCCAUCAUUCAUGACUUCAUCCCACUCAGGAGUAUAUAUAUGUAUUUGUAUGACAACAUGUGUAUGUGAUUAUGGGUGUGUACUUGUGAGUGCAUGAUCUUGUUACAUUAUUCUCUAGCAUCCAUCAUUCCAAUACCAAUUCCUUGAUUUCCUGUGAAAUCUGAGCAUCUGGGAAGAUCCCAGGGGAGCUGGUCAUCCAGCAUGGAAGCUCCCCAGUUGGAAGAAAACAGAUGACCAAAGCCUGGGACCCUGGCCACUUCUCAGUCAACAGGGGCAUCUCCACGAUUAGCUGGGGCCAUGGAGGAGAAGACCCUUGAAAAUACUACCUGAAGGGGUGAUGGGAUCCAGACCUGAUGACUGAGCACAGGGAAAUGUAGUGGAGAAAAGUUUGUCUACCUGGGACAGGUCUUCGUAGGUGAUCAGAAAGGAAUUCAGUUCAUGCCACACACCUAGCCAACUCUUAGUGUGGUUAAACCAGGAACCAAAAAACACUAGAGAGAGAGAAGGCAGAGAGAGGGACAAGGGCAUGCUCCCCAGCCAGGGCCCAAGGCAUUGCAGUUCUGACUAUGGCAGCUGCUCAGCCCCCUAUCUAUCCCAUGGCCAGGGUGGGGCUCUCCCAGAGGGCAUCUGUCUUGGGCCCAGAGGAAGAACAUAUACUAUUUGUUCUUUCUGUAAUCAGUAGCAGUGACCUCACUUCUUAGAAAACUUCCUAGUGGCUUGGCACUCUGAAAAUUUGACUGAGUUGUUGAGAUGAGACAGAGCAAGUUGGGCAGAAAAGAACCUUGGCUGACAUCAGGAGGACCCAAGCAGAAUCUAUGGUGUAUCACUUGCCAACUGUGUGACCAGGAGAAAGUCAUUUAAAUUUUGGGCCUCAAAUUUCUUCAUUUGUCAAAUGAAGAGAAAGGAGGAGAAUAAGCAUUUAUAAAGGCCUGCUAUGUAUCAAAUACUGUUACAUGCUUUACAAAAAUCAUAUCAUUGGAUCCUUCCAAGACCCUACAAGGUAAGUCCUUUUAUUAGCUUCAUUUUACAUUUGAGGAAACUGAGGCAAACAGAAGCUAAAUGACUUAUCCAAGGUCAUAAGCCACUGAAUAUCUCAGGCAGAACUUAGAUUCAAAUAUUCCAAAUUCCCACCCCAACCUUUUCUUAAAUGUCCUGUUUAGAUAACUUCUAGCUCUAAAUUGAUUAUCUAUGAUCUCUACACAGGACAAUGGACAGGGCCAGUUUCCUUAUCCCCUUUUUUGACUUUAUCUGUGGUUUUCCUCACAUUCCAUGGCAAGCCAGAGUCUUCUCUCAUUUGACUGACCCACUAAUGGUUAUUUUAGACCAGAGGUCUCCCACAUGGCCCACAACAUCCUCAGUGUAUACUGAACCCGAUUAAAAUGUAUUGGAAAAUAUUUAGCAAAAUAAAUAAAAAUAUAAUAAAAUAUAAAAUUGCAUUUAAAAACCAAGUUCAGUAUGCAGCCCAGAGGGAUCUGUAUAUGUGGUUUAGUGGCCCCUAUUUCUAUUUGAAUUUGACACUAUUGUCUUAGAUGUAAGUCUGCCAUAUUGCUCUCCUUCAAAUAAGGCAAACAAGGAAGGGUAGAACUUGGAGAAGCUCAUAAUCCCCUCUAGUCAUUCUACUGAUCCUGCCCCAUCAAUGCUACUAGUGUCAUGGGAAGGAGCAGGAAACUCUUGACAACUCUUUCCCCUACUCAGGGUCUGGAACAUCUCUCCUCACUAAGGUUAGCCUUGCCACUGAUGUAAUUACAGAACAGAAUAAGGAAUGUAUUCUAAGUCCAGAUUCUGCUUGAAGUCUUCCAGGGAUGGGAUAUUUGCUUCCUCUGGGAGGGUGAAGUCCUCAAUUCCAGAUUGAGCCCAUUCCAACUUUGAACAACUCUGAUUCACCAGAUUAACCAUAUAUUGGAAAUAUUUAUUUCCGUGAUCAUAUGUACCAAUGGGUAUCAUAUUUCUUGUCUUCUCAAUGGGUGAGGGAGGGGUUAGAGAAUUUGGAAUUGAAAAUUAAAGAGAAUAAUGAGACAUAAGAAAUGGGACCUCAAAGUCUAGCCAUGUUUUCCUCUCUAUCAGCUUUGUCCCCACCACCCUAGAUCCCCAGGUAUAAUAACCUUUGCCUUCAAUGAACUGAUGAAAGAAGUCAUCAAAGGAAUUGAAAUCUGGCAGAAACUUCGAGAACUUGUGGAAAUGGUAAGAGGAUACCAGAACAUCUUUUGCGUUUCGUACCAAAAACACUACCUAAGGACAAACAAAAUGAAGAAAGGAUAGUAACAAUCCUGAGAUUUGGGGUAAACUUCUAGAAAUUGUUGCCUAACCAAUUUCCUUAGGGAAUUUUCUUUAUCUCCACUUACCUUCCCCCAUAUCUGUCUCUUUUCCUAGGUUCAUACACAAUACUAAAACUCAAGAUUAUUUAAACUGAGAUUAUCUAUUUAUAGAUUCCUAUAUUGAUUAUCUAUAUGCUCAAAGGAUAAGGAAAGGCUAGAUGAGACCAUAGAAAUCAGAUAAUACAACAUCCUUAUUUUCUGGAAACUGAAUUCUGCAGAAGGAAGUGAUAGAAUCAUAACUAGGACAGGUCAAAUGAUGCUUUUUCCAAAGGCACGGAACUUUAGACAAUGCUGACAGAACUAGUAUUACUUUUGGCCUGCAGAAACAAUUGAGCCUAACACUUUAGUAAGAACAAUUCUUUAUAAAUAAAAAGCUAUUCAAGCCUUAGAAUUAUCUCUGUGCCUCCAACUCCUUUUAAAAAAAUUAAAUUGAAUUUUUAAUAGUUGUUUUCUGACAUUUUGUAAUCCAUGUUUUCUCCCUUCUUCCUUCUCCUCCUCUACAUAGUAUGGCAGGCAAUAUAAUAUAGAUUGUACAUGCAUUUGUUAUCAUACAACACACAUUUUCUGAUUGAUAAUGUUGUGAAAUAAGAGAGAUCACUUAUAUUAGAGAAAAAAACAAGUGGAGGAAAUAAAGCAAAGAAUAGUAUGCUUCAAUCUGCAUUCACACUCAGUUUCUCAUAUUGUGGUGGAAAGUCUUUUUCAUCAUGACUCUCUUGGAGUUGUCCAACAUCCUUCCACUGCUGAUAAUAGUUUAAUCAUUCACAGUUGAUUAUUAUACAUUGUUGCUAUUGCAGUGUACAAUAUGCUCCUAGUUCUGCUCAUUUCACUCUGCAUCAUUUCUUAUAAAUCUUUCUAGGUGUUUGUUUUUUCUUGAGAUCAUCCCAUUCACCAUUUUUCAUGGGAUGAUACUAUUCUAUUACAAGCACAUACCACAACUUGUUCAGUAAUUCCCCAAACUGAUGGAUAACCCUUCAUUUUUCAGUUCUUUGCCAUUACAAAAAGAACUCCCAUAAUAUUUUUGUACAAGUAAAUCCUUUCCCCUUAUCUUUGAUCUCUUUGGGAUAUAGACCUAGUAGUGGUACUGUUGGGUCAAAGGGUAUGCACAGUUUUAUGGCCCUUUGGGCAUGGCUCCAAAUUGCUCUCCAGAAUGCUAGUGUUCACUAAUAGUGCAUUAGUGUCUCAAUUUUCCUACAUUCCCUCCAAUAUUUCUCAUUUUCCUUUUUUAUCAUAUUAGCCAGUCUGAUAAGUGUGAGGUGGUAUCUCAGAGCUGUUUUAAUUUUUAUUACUCUAAUGAAUUGUGGUUUGGAGCAUUUUAUCACAUGACGAAAGACAGUUUUAAUUUCUUCAUCUGAGAAUAGCCUAUUCAUAUCCUUUGAUUAUUUAUCAACUAGGAAAUGCAUUGUGUACUUAUAAAUUUGACUCAGUUCCCUAACUUUUGAGAAAAGAGACCUUUUUCAGAGACACUUGCUAUAAAACUUUUCCUCCAGUUUUUGUUUCCUUUUUCAUCUUGAUUACAUUGGUUUUGUUUGUGAAAACCUGUAAUUUAAUGUAACCAAAGUGAUACAUUUUACAUUUUGUAAUGUUCUUUAUGUCAUGUUUGAUCAUAAAUUCUUCCCUUAUCCAUAGAUGUGAGAGCUAAACUCUUAUGCUCCUCGAAUUUCUUAAUAUCACCCUUUAUUUCUAAAUCAUGUAUCCAUUUUAACUUUACUUUGUUGUAUAGUGGGAGAUCUUGUUCUCUGCCUAAUUUCUGAGAAACUUUCACAUUCUGCAAGGUUUCCCAGGAGUUUUUGAUGAAUAAUGAAUUUUUCCAAAAUCUUGGAUCUUUAGGUUUGUCAAACACUUGGUUACUAUGGUUAUUAACUACUAUAGGUUGAGUACCUUAUCUAUUCCAUCGAUCUACUUGUCUAUUUCUUAGCUAGUACCAGGUGGUUUUGGUGUUGCUAUUAAAUAAUACAGUUUGAGAUAUGGUACAGUGAAGACACUUUCCUUCACAUUUUUUUCAUUCAUUCCCUUUAUAUUGUUGGUCUUUUGUACUUUCCAAAUGAAUCUAAUUUUUUUCUAGAGUUCUGAAAUAACUUUUGUUUAGUUUGUUAUGGUACUGAACAGGUAAAUUAAUCCAGGUAGAAUUGCCCUUUGGGUGUGUCUUUUCAUCAAACUUUUUAAUUUCCCCCCAAUCCUCACCAUUUCCUUAGUCUUGCUUGUACUGAUUAUGUCAUCCACCUUGGGCUCCUUCCCACUAAUCUGAAAAACCUCCUUAUGCUGCUUCUGCUGUAACUCUUUCAAUUCUGUUGGCAGGUCAUCACUGGAGAGACUGUCUAUUGCCUUUUUUGUAUCCCCAGGGCUUAUUACAGUGCUUUGCACAUAAUAGGUGCUUAAUGAAUAUUUGCUGAUUGAUUGAGGUGAGUUUGAAGAAAGCCAGGAAAACUAGGAGGUGGAGUAUUCCAGGCCUGUAUGAUGGCCAAUGAAAAGGAAGAUAUUCAUGAAGAGUCAUUUAACCCCAUUUGCAUAGCUCUUACAGCUCAUCUGCCUAGGCACCAAUACUUUGUAUUGAUGCUGAGAUGGAAGGUAAAGGUUUAGAAAAAUAUGUGGCUGAGAUCUUAAGCCUACACAUGGUGUUCUUCUGUUUUGAAAAUGUUUUGCUAUUACUGACUCUUGAAGGCAGGAGAGAUGAUAUACACCAAGGCGUAAAAGACAGACUAGGAAGUUGGGUUCUGAUGCUUCUUUCUGUUAAUUUUAAAAUUACUCCACCCUACUCAGACAGUACUUUAGGGGAAGAUAAAGUUGUAAACUCCUGAUUGAACAAUGAAGGUACUUAACUCAUACCUUAUAGUGAAGCUAGAACUUUAAGCUAAGUCUAUUUUUAGAUCUAAUACAAAAAGGUGUUAAGUAACUAUAAAGGUUAAAUUAAUCACAAAAAAAGUCAAGUAACUAAAAAAAGGUGAACUUAAUAAAGAAGUGAGAAGUAGUUCAAAAGAGAUAAUCUAGCCAGAGAAGGUGAGAACUAAAGAGUGGACAGUCCUGGAGAAAAUCUAGUCAGAGAAGGUGAGAACUAAAUAGUGGGCAGUCCUGGAGAAAAGCAUCUGCUGUGAUUGGUCGACAUGAAAAUUUAGGGGAGGUGACACAAGAAAAAAGAUCUUUAAAAGGAGGUCUAGAUGAGCAGCAAGACGUGAGUUCAGGACUGGAACUCAGCCUGGAGGAUCUCCCUCAGACAGCUUCCUUGAAACAGUCUCAUGGUGAGUGAUAAGACUGACUCCCUUUCCCUUGGGCUCAGGGAGGCCAGUUUGGCCAAGGCCUUUAACUUACUGCCUGGCUCAGCUUGAGUUGGAGCAGUUUAAAUUAACUCUUUCCUUUCCCUCUCUCUUCUCCUUAAUUCCUUCUCUCUCUAUUAAUUAAAAUCACCAUAAUUUCCAGCUGACUUGGGCAUUUUAUUAUUUGGGAUUUUCCCUGGUGACCAAAUUAAUAGAUUUUAAGUUACAGCCUUAAAAUUAUCCUUACAUUUCUUGGCAAAGAGAAUGUUAUAUUUAUGGAAGGUAUACCACUAGUCAUUCACUCCUUUCUUCUGACUGCUUGUUUUAGUACUAAAAAUCACCGUGUGCCUUUCUUCAGGCUACCAAAGAAUCAAUUUUACAGCUAGAUAGAGAUCACAGAGGCCAUCCAAUACCAACCUCUUCAUUUUACAGAUGGUGAAACAGAGGGAUAGAAAAAUUUAAGUGACUUACCCAAGGUACAGAGCACACAUCAGCAAUAGGAUUUGAAUCUGAAGUAGUUUGAAUGAGGGAAGUAGGUUAGAUAAUAAAAUUGGAGUAGAUAAAGCAGAUCAAUCCCUUCCUGCAUUUUUAGGAAAUAAACCCAGUCCCACCAGGAGGUCAAGCAGAUUAUGCAGGGGUCAGACUAGAAUCUAAUUAGCCUAAGGAUGAGAAUUGGGAAUGUCAAGAAACAAAGGGAAUUUAGGAAUAUCAAAGAGGUCAGAAUGGAAUGCAAGAUAAUUUAUAGCUAAUUAGGGAUAAGUGAAUUAAGUACAUGUGAAAGUAAAUAACCCCUGAAUAACCUGAGGAUUGUUCACUCAUCACUGACCAUUUAUUUCUACCUGUGUUUGUGAUAAGGUUUGUUUGAUUGUCAAAUAUUAACCUCUGUUUGAAAGGAAAUAACUUUGCAUCUUAUAACCUAUAUAAACUAUCCUAUAAUGCCAGUCUGAUGCAGCUUCCACUAGGGAAGUCUGUCCUAGCUGGUAGAUUCUUUAUUCUUUAUCAAUCAACAAAUAAUGGUUCCAAUAAUUGAAUUUUGGGGUGUCUGGACACAUUUUAUGAAGUGCCCCACUUCAAAUCUAUGUCUUCCUGAUACUAAGUCCAAGGCUCCAUUCAUUCUACCAUACUGUUUCCUGUCAAGUAUCUUGUUACAUUCCACUUACAUGUUGGUUUCCUCCAUCUAGACUGUAAGCUCCCACUCCUUACAUACGUAGAAUAAGACUCAAGGAUUUGGCAGCUGAAUCUAACUCAGGCCCCUGACAGCCUGGACCUAUGGGUGCUGGGUUGGCUCCCUGUAUGCUCUAGGAGCAACUGCUUUCUUUUAAAAAAAUUUAUAUUAAAAUCAGGCCUCAGACACUUCCCAGCUGUGUGAUUCUGGACAAGUCACUUGACCCCCAUUGCCUAGGCCUUAGCACUCUUCUGUCUUGGAGCCAAUACACAGUAUUGACUACAAGAUGGAAUGUAAGGGUUAAAAAAAUCUUUACACAUACACAAACUAUAUAUGUAUAUAUCAUAUAUGUGUGUAUAUUUUGUAUAUGCAUAUAUAGGCACAUAUAUAUAUUUUUAUGAAAUUAAUAAACACCAAAUAAAUGGGUUUUUCCACAUACAUAAGAGCACAGAAAAAGUGGAUCAUACAUGAAACUGCUCCAACUACAUAGAACUUGUUUUUCUUUUUAAGAGUAUAAUCAAUUCAACAAGUAGCUUUCCAAGCUAUUCAAUUUCUCCCUGCUUCUUCUUGACUUUUCUCUUGAUCUAUUCUUGGCAUUUAAAGAAAAAGAUGCUUCAGGGGCAGCUAAGUGGCACAAUUGGUAGAGUGGCAGGGCCUGGAGUCAAGAAGAUGUGAAUUCAAAUUUGCCCUCAGACACUUCCUACCUGUUUGACUCUGGGCAAGUCAACCAAUUCAAUUUGCCUAGCCCUUGCUCUUCUGCUUUAUAGUUUUUACUAAGAUAAAAAGUCAGGGUUAAAAAAUGCUUCAAAGAUCCUCUUUUUUCCAUUUGUUUUUGUUUUUCCUAGUCUAUCUCUUUCUCUACUUACCUUCCUACCUGCUUAUUUGCCUCUUUUUUUUUUCCUAGAAAAAAAGAGAAAGAAAGUUUCUGAGUCCAUUUUCACUUACUCGAACCUUGGAGUUCUUCAGGUUUUUAAUGAAAAAGUUGGCAGGGAUGUGAGUAGUGAGAAGGCGUGGUUCAGGUAUUUUGAUCCACUCUUUCUGAAAGGUAAAGUUUUCAAUCAAAGGGGCCCGAGUAAAGGUAGGAAUGUUAUUUUGGUUCUGCAAGUCCUCCUUGUUGAGCAUAAGGCUCAGAAUCUGCUGCAUCCAGUGUGUGCCUGUUAAAGAAAGGAAAGAAGUAUGGUUGUGAAGGUUGAACCUCUCACUAUAGCCAAAGACAGAGGUGAGGUGAGGGAAGGAGACACAAUUUCACUCAUUUCUUAUUCCCCAGGAGUUGACGACCACCACCUCCAUUGCUUGUCCUCAAGCACAAUUCUAAUGGAGGCAAAGUUGGCCUUCAACAUAUCCCUAUUUCUUCCCCCAUCCAUUGAUUUCUCUAGUUUGUUUGCUGUCCCCAGCUGCCCAGAGUCCUGACCCCAAUGUCCCAUUCAGUCUUAUUCUUUCAAAUUAGCACUGGUACUCCAGGUCUGGGCAACAGAAAAUGGGCAUUUCAUUAUGUGAAGAUCAGACAUUUAACCAAGAGUAUCUUCAGUGUGGAUAAAGGCCCACUUGGCAAUUCUCUAUCUGAUAAGUCAGGACCCCUGAAGGGGGAAUUCCUCUCUGUUUCUAGAAAAGAUCGAAUUAUUGUCCUCUCCCCUCAAAGAAUCCCAUUUCAUUCAAUAUGUCACUCAAAGAGGAUUCUCUCUAAUGUAUCUGUGGGAAGAACUACAUUGAUUUGUGGAGAUGAGUGAUCAAGGAGGAAGGAGAUAGAGCUAUGGUAGGAAUAGUCAUCUAAAACCUGAUUGUUAAAUCUAUGUUACCUGAUUUGGGGUAGGAAACCAGCAGGAUAUCUGUGUCUUGGAAUUGGAAUUUGCUAGCAAAGUGCAGGUUCUCUUUAGAAAAAAAUGCUACUGGCAAGGGAAUGCCCUCAAAGACUUCCAUAACCUUAGUUUUCUCCUUGCUAGUUGCUUCUCUGCAGGGAAAAGAAAGCCCAAUAUAAAUGUUAGUGAAAUUAUAUUAAAGGAUCUACUACUUGGGGAAAGUCUCUAAUGCUGGCAAUUCUAACUCUCUAAUUCCCUGGUAAGAAGAUGAGUUCCAGAAGAGCCAGUCUCCUGGAAGAGAACAGCUGCCAGUUCUGGGGGAAAGUGUUCUAAGCAGCCAAAUGUGUUCCUUGGUCUGCCCUCUGCUGAGUUAGAGAUUCUUAAUGUUGCUGCCCUUGAAGUAAAAGGUCUACACACAGUACUUCACUUAGCAUGCCUGAUCUGGGAGUAGAGUUGGGAAAAGGAUGUGUUUAACAAGAAUUUGCAGAGAAAGCAGUGCUGAAUUCAGUGCCAAGUGGAGAGACCCUCCUCUAGCCUCCAUUUAAGAACAGUGCCCAGACCAGCCAUCUCUUCAUUUCCUACCCAACUGUGUUCAUUUACAUCUCUUCAUUGUAUUACCUUUAACCUCAUCAUCAGGCAAAAUCAUACCAACUUUGAUACUCUUACCUCAUCAUUGCCUUCUCCCCCUGGAAACUCCAUGAUUAGAUUCAAACUUCCAUUUUACAAGGGCAUCAGGCCCAGACAUCACUUCAUUUCCUACCCAGUUGCAUUCCUUUGGACCUUUCUAUCUCCAUGCAUUCUGCCUUAUCAGAUACCUUCCCUUCUUGCCCUCCUAUUUUUAGUUUCCUCCAUUGUAUGUUCUUCCUCUAUUAGACUAUCAACUCCUCGAGGCCAAGGACUUUCUUUUUCAUGCCUCAAAUAGAGUGGGCACUUAAUAAAUGUUUAUUAAUAGAUGAAGCUUCAGGUCUUACCUCUCUGUCCUCCUCCACAUAGGAUGGGAAGGGAUUUGGGGAGAAUUACACAGAGCUGAGAAUCUGAAUAAGGGAAGGUUAAGAAUAAAGAAAGAAAAUAUGUAUUGAUUAAAUGUUUACUAUGUGCCAAGUCAUAUGCUAAAGCCUUUAGAAAUAUCAUACCAUGUAAUCCUCACAAUCACCUUGAGGCAAGAGAUUCUAUUAUAAUUCCCCCUUUUAGGUGAGAAAACUGCAGGUAGAUAAAGGUGAAGAGACAAGGUCAUUAUAUUAAUGAAAUGAGAGAAUUGGAAGGAAAAUGCACUGAAACCCAGAGAAAGGAUGUGAGCAGGUAGAUGAGAUAGUGCAUAAAACAGUGAACUUGGAGUAAAAAAGACUUGAGUUGGAAUCAUAUUUCAGACACUUAGCUCUUGGCUUUGGGGACAAUGAACCUUUCUCAGCCUCAAUUUCUUCAUGUAUAACAUGGGAAUAUUAAAUAGCACCUACAUAGGUUUGUUGUAAGGGCUAAGUCAAGAAGCAUUUGUUAGCAUUUACCAUGUAUCCGGUCAUGUGUUAAGCUCAGAGGAUGUAAAGAAAUACAGUGUCAUCAUCAUCAUCAUCAUCAUCAUCAUCAUCAUCAUCAUCAUCAUCAUCAUCAUUAGCACCAGUAAGGAAAUCCAGAGUCCAAAUGGUGGAGCCAAGAUGGCCAAGUGAAGUCAGCAUUUUUUCUGAACUACCCUAAUAUGUUCCUUCUUCAACAACUUAAACAACACACCAGACUGAAUUCUGAGUGGAAAAGUAAAUAACAAAAUCACCGUGAGUCAUUUUUUCUAGCCCAGGAAAGCUUAGGAAGAUAGAGAGUUCUAUAGGUGGGUGAUGAUUGAGAACACAGCACAGAAAGUGGAAAAUGUGGGGCAAAAGCAGUGCCCAGGGACUGUACGAAGACUGAACAACCAAGUCAGAAAGAGAUUCCAAGGGACUACAGUACUGUCUGAAGGCACAAGACCAAGCACCAAUAGGGAGCUCUGUUGCCUAUUACCCAAUUAGAGGUUACAGUUCAAGGGUAGAAAGAAAUGGUCAAAGUCAAUAGAGAGCAGGGCAUCACUUGCGUGAGGACUAGAGCACAGACCGUGAGGGCAGUGACCCAACCUCUCUAUUGCACCAUACUGAAAGCCCUGAAAUUUAUAUUGGGCUGUGAAAGCAACAAAAGGACAUAAAGUACAGAAGCUUAGGUCAUACAUCCACUUUUACACACACAUUCCCAUCCUGUGCUCCUGGAGUACCCGUUAAGUGGUGGCACCACAAAGCACAGUGUUGCUCACGUACAGUACUACUUCUGGUGACAUAAUCCUUUGUGUGGCACUUUGUUCUGAGAGUAACUGAAUCAGAACGAUGCCGUGAACAAUGGAUUAUGUGACUGCACAAUGGAAGAUGUGAGUGGUGACCUGGGGGAGGAGAUUCUGCACUUUGUAUACUGUUGCCUGGUAUAGUGGUGGCAGUGAUGUACAAGGUGUGACAGGCUCAUCACAGCCAGCACUGCAGCCUCUGUUGUCCCAGACAACAGUAUAUAGUGUCACAGGCCCAGCACCACCUCCAGUAUUGUAUACAGGCAAAGGAUAGUGGUAAUUUGGCCCUCCAAUAGUCUAACGGACAGUGAACUGGCCCCCUGUGUAAAAAGUUUGGGGAUUCCUAGUGACUAGGAGUUGAUCAGAGUUCAAUUCUAACAUAACAUUGUGAAGAUUAGAUUUGGCUCUCCUCUGAUUAAACAAUGAAGGUAAUUAGCUUUUCCUUUAUUAUGAAGAUUAAAUUGUAAUCCCCUGUCUAUUUUUAGAUUCUAAUCCCUAAAAUGUAAACCCAGGACUUAAAGUAGACCUACCCAUUUUAACCACAAAAAGUUAUGAACUAACCACAAAAAGAUGUGAACUAAUCACAAAAGGUAUGAACACCCAUUUCAUACACUGAGUGGGAAGACUGUGAUUGACGUGUGACAGAGCAGGCAGUCCUGGAGAGGAACAUCUCCUGUGAUUGGUAGAUGUAAAAUUUAGGGGAGGUGACAUAAGAGAAAAAGGUUUUUAAAUAGUGGAAACAGACACACAGAGAAUUUCAAUCAGUCACUCAGGCUUAGAGUGAAGAUCAAUCAGUCACUCAGACUUGGAGUGAGGAAUCAUUAGUCACUCGAAGUUUAUUCCAUUUAUUUAUUCCAUUUGCUGAAAUAAAAGACCAAAACAAAUCUUCCUUUCCCCCUGCUUUAAAUUGUAUCAGCUUCCUAGUUUUUUUUUAAUUAUUUUGAAACACUACCCUAAGUGUGUGUAAAGUGAUUGAAUUCUAGCUUGCCUUGUCCAGAGGAUAUUAAUAUGCUAGACUGGUUGAGAUUUAGCCAUAUUCUCUGGCUUGUUUUUAUUAUUAACAUGAUGUACUAAAAUUAGAUCCUUUUGAGAUAAAAACUAGGUAUUAUGUAAAAUAUGGUAACAUUGACAUUGAAUGACUAAUAAAUGAUUGAAUAAAAAAAAAGAAUUUGACUGGAAGACAAACUCUCAGAUGGAGUAAAGAGAGACUCUUGGACUUGGAGUGAAGAGAGACACUUGAGCAGAGACUGGAAGACAGACACUCAGACUUGGAGUGAAGACACUUGGCUGUUGAACUGGACCCCUAGAGGAGCUCAUGCAGGAGACCUCAGACUGCUUUCAUUUUGGAUAGUCGCUGUGGUGAGUGUAAAAGCUGACUUCCUUCCUUGCCCUUUCUGGAGGUGUGACCCUCCGAGAAAGACCCAUCGUCUUAAGACUCCUUUCCUCUGACUGGUGCCUUAGAAUUUCUAACUAGUUCAGAGGAAGCUGAAGAUCUCUGUCUGUCUGUCUGUCUGUCUGUCUGUCUGUCUGUCUGUCUGUCUGUCUCCCUCCCCCUUAAUAUCUUCCCUCUAUUGUAAAGUAAACUAUAUAAAUUACAUUUUACUUUAGUAAUUCAUUUUGGGAAUUAGUCAUUAAAUCCCUAGUGACCACCAAUUAAAUCUAUUGAGUCCAAGUAACUAUAAAUUUAACAAUAUUUGGAUGACCAUUUCAGUUGUGAUGAAAUCCCCUCAAUCAAAUAAAAAAUUAAUCGGAAACUAAAUAAUCUAAUUCUUCACAAGAAUGGCUCAAAGAACAAUCAUAGAACCCAUCACUGAUUUAAUUAAAUGGUUGAUAAUGAGGAGACAAUAUAUCACAAUUUAAUGGAGACCUCCAAAGCAGUACUUAGGGGAAAAUUUUUAUCCUUGAAUGUUAAUAUAAAUUAAAUGGAGAAAAAGUAGGUCAAUUAAUUGGGCACACAACUAUGAAAAAUGUAGUAUUCCAGUAUAUUAGCAUCUUGAAAGUAUUAUUGGUGGAUUGAUAUUGUAUCUUAUGUGUUCAUAUAUCAGAGUCAUGGUCACCCAAUUUUGACUAUUGUAUUUCCAAGUCUUCAUUCCAAAGAACAAAAGAAUUCCUGAAAAGAACAUUAUUUGCCAUGGGGUCCUAGCUUCCAUCUUGUUAGACCACAUUCCUUACCAAGUCAUAUGUUUGAUUAAUCUCCUCACAUUAAUGUGAUUGUCAAUUGAGUCAAUGUUAAAACCUAUGCCAUGUCACAUGUUCAUUAGCUACCUCCCGCUCCACAUUCCUAAAUUCUCCAAUAAAAGUUUGGGGACAUGUUUAGAGCCCUCUAUCAAUAGCAUUAGAAGAGCACACAUGAUUGAGCCCAUGUUUUUUAACUCCUUGUUUCUGAGUCUUUAUUCCUUUGUCACUAUCUCUCUCUCUCAAUCUCUUUCUCUCCUUGAUCCAUUUCUCCUCAGUUUCCAAUCUCCUUCUCAGGUGUCCACCCAUGAAAAUAUUAAUAUUUAGCUGCAAAAUUUUAUUAAAAAACUAGAUAAUGAAUAAAUUAAAAAUGCCCAAUUAAUGACUACAUUAGAAAUCCUAAAAAAUUGAAAGUAAAAGAACCAUUGAGCUAAUCAAUGAGACUAGGAGUUGGUUUUAUGGAGUAAAAUAAAAUAGAAUAUUGGUUAAUUUGAUUAAAAAAGGAAAGAAGAAAAUCAAAUUACAAAUAUCAAAAGCGAAAAGGGUAAAGUCGCCUCCAAUGAAGAGGAAUUAAAGCAAUCAUUAGGAGCUAUUUUGCUCAAUUAUAGGACAGUAAUUCUGAUAAUAUAGGUGAAAUAAAUGUAACUGAUGCAGUGUGAAAGGAGCAGAACCAGUAAAACAUUAUACCCAGGGAUUGAUACACUGUGGUAUAAUCUAAUGUAAUGGACUUCUCUGCUAACAGUAAUGCAAGGAUCUAGAACAAUUCUGAGGGACCUGAGAAAGAACACUAUCCACAUUCAGAGGAAGAACUGUGGAAAUAGAAACACAGUAGAAAAACAACUGCUUGAUCACAUGGUUUGAUGGGGAUAUGAUUGGGGAUAUAGACUCUAAACGAUCACCCUAGUGAAAAUAACAAUAACAUGGAAAUAGGUCUUGAUCAAUGACAUGUGUAAAACCAAAUGGAAUUGCACAAUGGCUACAGGAGGGGGUGGGGGUAGGAGAGAGAAGGAACAUGAAUCUUGUAACCAUGGAAAAAUAUUUCAAAUUAAUUAAUUAAACAAAAAUUUCCAAAUAUAUUAAAAAGAGAAGAAUGUUGGAAAUAGUUAUUACAUGUAAAUGGAGAAAAAUAAAAUAAAAUAUAAUUAAAAAGUAACAAGUUGGAACCUCAGUUUAAAAAAUAGGCUCAUAAGAGGCAAAUACAGUAGAGGAGAAGAUUGGGGUGCAGAUGGCUAAGUUUGAACCUUACUCUCAUUGGAACUAGCUCAAAAUGAGAAUAACACCCACAUAGUUGGCUAAAGAAAACUAUCUUACCCUAUAGAGACUAGGAUGGUAGAGAGAAUAAGGAAAGAGGGCCCUAAGGAGGGUGAAUUGGGGAGGAGAGGUCACUGAAAACCAAACAUCUAUGAAGGGAGCUGCUAGGUAGCUAGGUGGCUCAGCGAAUUGAGAGCCAGGCCUAGAGGUGAGAGGUCUUGGGUUCAGAUCUGAUCUCAGAAAUUACUAGCUGUGUAAUCUUGCACAAGUCACUUAACUCCCUUAGCACUCUUUUGUCUCAGAACCAAUACACUGUACUGUUGCUAUGAUGGCAGGUACAUGUUUAUUAUUAUUUUUAAAUAAUCUGUGAAAAGGGAGAAGCUAAAAAGAGAGAGAAAAAGAAGAAUAAGUAGGGAAAAAUAAGAUGGAGGGAAACAUAAUUAGUAAUCAUAAUUGUGAAUAUGAGUGGGAUGAACUCACCCAUAAAAUGGAAAAGGAUAGAACAGUAAAUUAAAAAACAUUAUGCCACUAUAUGCUAUCUAUAAUAAAUUGAAACUGAAAAUAGGAAGGUACAACAAAUAAGUAAGAGAAUACAGUAGAAGCUACUGUGCCUCAGCUAAGGGAAAAAACCCAGCAACUAUGGUAGCAAUUAUAAUCUCACACAAAACAAAAGUAAACAUAGAUCUCAUCAAGAGAGAAGGAAGGAAAUUACAUCAUGAUAAAAGGCACCAUAGACAAUGAAACAGUAUCAAUUUUUAAACACCUAUGCACCAAAUGGCAUUGCAUCCAUAUUCCCAAAGGAAAAGUUAUAUGAAUUACAGAAAGAAAUAGAUAGAAAAAGUAAUUAGUGGGGGACGUCAACCUUCCCCUCUCAGAAGUAUAUAAAUCCAACCAGAAAACAAAGAAGGAAAAAGUUUAGGAGAUAAAUAGAAUUUUGGAAAGGUUGGGUAUUAGAGACUUCUGUAGAAAAAUGAAUGGGAAUAGAAGGGAAUAUGCACUUCCCAGCUGUGUGACCCUGAGCAAGUGACUGGGGGGCACUUGACGCCCAUUGCCUAGCCCUUACUGAUCUUCUGCCUUAGAACCAAUACACAGUAUUGAUUCCAAGACAGAAGGUAAGGGUUUAAAAAAAAAGGAGGAGAGAGACAUAUAAUAGAAACCUGUUGGUAUCUUAAUGAGGGUAAUACACCCUUUUAGGAAAAAGCAAUUGAAAGGAGAGUAAAUUAUCAAAAAUGUAGUGUGUUAUUGAGGGUAAAAUAGAGCAUUAAUGAGGACUAACAAAAAUUGAAUUUGCUAAAUGAGAAGGGAAAAAGGAGUUACAAAUAAGCUCUUUAAUCACAGGUAGAGGUUGUAAAAAAUAGACUCGAAUACAGGACUACAAUCCCCACGAGCCUUUGAUCCACUUCCCCAGAAUGCCUUGUAAUCUCACCUGGGCCAAGAUCGAGAGGGUAUUUAAACUGAUUCAAAGGCUUUUGAGGGUCUCUCUCUUGGGUCUUUUGGACUUCUGUUUUGCAGCAGGCGCGUCUCUUGCGUGAUGUGAGGUUAUUUUGUCUAGGCCUCUGGCCUAGGCACAUGUUUCUUACUUGUAUAUUCUUUAAUCUUUAACCUUUAAUAAACCUCUAAAAAAUAUAAUACUGCUUGCAGAGAGAAACUCAUUUCUGCCUCAGAUGCCUCAGUCUCCCCAUCUCCCCUAAAUUUUAAUCUUUACAGUUUGGCGACCUAAUGGGGAAAAAAAAACCUCAAUCUUCUGAAUUCUUUUCUGAUCUUUAGUUCAACUUUUAAUAUCUAGUACCUAGAAAAAAAAUUUUUUUUGAGCCAUAUCUCUCUGGCCAAGGUUUUCUACCCUCGCAAAGCUGCUACAGGCUCCAGACCUGCGGCCCACCCUGCCUGGCUCAGCCCCGCCGCUUCCUGCCUGUAGCCUGCAGCCCUGAUCGUCCUCACCUGGUACCUGGUCCCGGCCUUGCCCACCCCGACAGCCGCUCCUGCUCCUGGCCUAUUUCUGCGCCCCAGACCCAAGAGCGUGACCCCAGCCGGCUCAUCACCCAGAUCCUUGGAGCAGAUCGCUCAGGACUCAUUGCGACCAGCUGGUAACAGUAUUGGCCACGUGGGUGGAGGGGAGAGAAGAGAGGGAAAGGAGACCGGGUAAUUUUCCCUUAGGCUAAGCCUCCACGUGGCUGGGGGUUUUGACCACAGGGGGAUCAGAGAGGGGAAAGAGAGAAAAGACUAGAGAGAAGAAACAGAUCUUUUCAAACAGAAACCUAAAAAGCAAUGGGCUGUUUAAAAGGAUUUCUGACUCUUCUGGCAAUUUCAUUGAUUUUACCUGCCUGUCAGGGAGCAGACUCAGCCCAAAGAUUCAACUUUAACUUUGGGGAGGAAAAUGGGUGGCCCAGCAAACUGGAAGCCAGGCCCAGGGACCGGAGGUCUCUAGCUAAAAUCUGGCCUCCGAUGCUUCCCAGCUAUGGGGCCCUGGACGGAUCCCUUGAACCCCAUAGCCUAGCCUUUACGACUCUACCUUCGGACAAUAGACAUUUAAAUGGAUAAUUAAAAACAAACAAACAAACAAACAAAAAAAAAAACCCAAGGAACUUUGAAGAGACUAAAGGCUAUAUUCUAAGGCAUUUCAGAUUCCAAUGGUUUAUAAAAAAAUCUCUGUAUUCUAUUGCAUUGUUUUGUUUAAGAUAUAACUUUGUGAUUUUAAGUUCAUAUAUUACUGGAUUGAAUAUUAUUCUGUGAACUGAAGGUUGAUUGAAUUUAUUUUGAAUGUACUGAGUUUUAAAAUUCUGUUGUUUUUCCCCUAUAACUGUUGAACAAAUAUUAUUGUGAAUAAGCCCAUAUAUGAAAAAAAACAGCCUUUUUCUAUUUUGCUGAGGAUAGAUGGACUUCAGAACUGGUUAUAAUUGUAUUAACAACCUUUGGAAUUUUAAUGUGCUAAAUACCUCAAAUGAUUUGAUUUUAAGGGUUUUUUAAAUAUGAUUUUUGGAAUUUUUUUUAACAAUCUGGUUAUUUUUGCCUGCCUCAACCAUGAGGUAAGGCCCAUUAGCUGAAGGGAAAUACAUUUUAUAAACCCCAACCUUCCCACAUGUGAAUGGAAGUUGGGCAGUUAAUCUCAGGGCAUUUGUAUCCCUAUAAGCCUCCAAGAAAAAGGAGCACCCCUUUAUUUAUGCUCUUCAGCUCACUAUUUUACUUCUACCAGAAUGAUAUAUAGAUUUCUUGAUUAUGUUCUAAACCCAAGAUGAGUUUUACUUUGUUUUAAAAAAUAUGUUUAAAUACCAAGGUUGAAGGAUUGCUAUGUUUGUAAAAAUUGUGACAAAUGUCCAUCAAUUCAUAGGUUUUAAAGAUGUCAUACAGCAACUUAUGUGAAAUAUGAAAUUGUGUUUGUUUGCUAUUGUAAUUAAUUGGGCUAUUGAGAAUUUUGGGGAUUUUGAUAUCUACAUAUUUGUACUACUGUAUUUUUAAAGAUGAAAAAAUUGUUAACCUUGUUCAAUUCAUUUGCCUUCUACUCACAGUGAUCAUGGCCAGAUACAAAGAGGAAAUGGAUCUCAUUUUUUGGUGAGAAAGCCUUGCAUUUUAUAUUUUCUUAACUGACACAGAGUGUCAAUGAUUAUAAGCUAUAUUUUUGAAUUUUUUAAAGCUCUUUUAUUAUUAUAUUUUUCUUGCAUGUGCAAUAUACUUUUUCAGUUUUUUUAAAAUUAUUUUUUCUCUCCUUUUUAUAUUUGAAGCACAUGUCACCAGUAUUAAGAUUUUCUUUAACCUUUUGAUUUUUAAGUUUAAGAUACAUUUGCUAAUACAUGCCCUAAAAGGCUUGUGACUAUAAAAAUGAUGCCACUAAUUAUUUAAAUAAAUUAUGGGACUUUGCUUAAUGAUUCUGUCUGAUUCUAGGACAAGAUAUACACACAAGAGCCAUUGCAUAGGGCCAAAGAAAGGCAAAUCUAGGAUGGAUUGAUGCACUUCUAGGCCAAUACAAAGGUCUUGAACCUAGUGUGAAGACUCGAGGUUACUAUGUUUAACAUGUGUUAAGACAUAGGAUUUCCUUGUAUCCACUCUCACCCUGAAGAUACUCACAGACGAGUAUCCCCAAAACCUUGGCUCCUACUUGGCUUCUAUAAUCUGGUCCCCUUUUCUGCCUUUCAUAGUGUGGUACCUUUCUGUAGUCCUGGCUACUGACUGGGUAAAUGCAUCAUUACUUAGAUAAUUUUGAUUGGGCCCUGAUUGAAGGACCUGAUAUAGAUUUAUUUUUCUUUACUUGGAAUUUUUACACAUAAGACUUUGAUAGUCUAUAUUUUCAUCUAGAAAUUUUUCUUUUCUUUUGGAUUUUCUGAUGUCUUUUUAACAUCUCUUGCCAAUUGAUUCAUAUACCUCAUACCUCAGCCAUGCGUCCCUAACUGAUUCUGAAUCUUUCAAUCACCCACAACAUGGGGGAAUGUAAAAAAAAAAUAUCAUUAUUUAAAUUGCAAAGUUUAAAUUCCUUUUGAGAAGAAUUUUAGGUAAAGAAGAUGCUACCUCUCUGAAUCCAGAACUGAACUGUUGGGGAAGCCACCAUGAAGAAGCCGCCAGACCACAAGUUGCACAAAAUUGAACUUUGGGUGUGGUUGAUUGAACAUUUAUUUGUAUGUAUACUUUUAUGCCAAAGGGGACUGCCUCCUAACGGCUUUUUGUCAAUGUGUUCAGCAAUUAUUGGUUUUAUUCUUUUUUCUCUUAUCCUCACACUAUUGUAAUCUUUUAAGUUUAUUAUGUUUUUAUGAUCCUUUUGGGGAAAAAAUUAAUUUUUCCAAAAAUGAUCACACGGGGUGGGGGAUGUAAAAAAUAGACUCGAAUACAGGACUACAAUCCCCACGAACCUUUGCUCCACUUCCCCAGAAUGCCUUGUAAUCUCACCUGGGCCGAGAUCGAGAAGGUAUUUAAGCUGAUUCAAAGGCUUUUGAGGGGCUCUCUCUUGGGUCUUUUGGACUUACAUUUUACAGCAGGCACCUCUCUUGCAUGAUGUGAGGUUAUUUUGUCUCGGCCUCUGGCCUAGGCACAUGUUUCUUACUUGUAUAUUCUUUAAUCUUUAACCUUUAAUAAACCUCUAAAAAAAUAUAA